rnacentral:lncRNA from 1 species
CAUAUUAAAGUUUAGAAGCUGCCUCUAAUGACUGAUGCAUGGUAGACCAUGAUCUUUCCAUGGAAAGUUGAUGGCUGCUACAAGAUAAACUUUGUGUGGGUAAAAUAAAUAACGUCUUUCUCUUAGAAGUUAAUGCAUGACGUUUGGGUAACCAGUGGUGCCAAAUCUGUUGGGAAUAUAUCUGUAAUUAUACCAGGGAAUCACGUAGCUUUCUAAGUUUGGGAAUCUCCUAGGUGAAAGGCUGACUGAUAAGGCAGGAGACCUGCUGGGAUGUUUGCAGAGGUCUCUUUUGGAACUUUAUGUUUACAUGUAAUAGCUUGGCUAACCAGUUCUGCUUCAAGCAUGUGUGUUAGAGCAGCACUGCCUGUGCAUAAGUGGCGGUCUUCAAGUUCUCAUUGCCUACUGGAGGUGUAGGGAUGACAGCAGGUUGCCUGUGUUAGAGUCAGUCAUAAAAGACUGCUUAGAAGCAGGCCAAAUCAGUGGGCAAGGAGCAAGGGACGUGCAUAGGGCCAGAUGUGUGACAAAACGACCAUGCUUUUGAUCUGUCUCAGCAGCAGCUUAGCAUUUGACCUCUCACAUGGGAUGCUAUUCCUCUGAUUGCGUGGACAUCUACAGCUGGUCCAGAGCUAAAUGCUCUUCGCAGCUGCCAGGAAACAGUACUGAUCUUAUCCUAAGGUGGGCAUCAGCUGUAGGCCAGGUUGUCUUGGCUAUUUUGCUGGACCAUCCCUGUAAGGCUGCUCUGCCCUGCUCCUCUCUGCCUCCAGCAGUGCUAUUAAGGAAAGGAGGGAGCUCUGAAUUCCUGCAGUCUCUGGCUAGAGGUAGACCUUAUGGUCAUGAUACACAACGGAUGGCACAGCUGCCACCUCCAGCCUCGUUCUGAGUAUCACUUAACCACCUGUCCAGUAGCAGUGCUGCAUGACAGCUUCUUCCUUAUCACAACCUGCAUGAACCCCCACAGCUGCUUCAUGUGUAGAAAUUAAAAGUUGUCUGGGAAACAUUUCAUGUGUGGCUCUUUGUAACUGGAAAGGCUUGCAGAACUGUAUCAGGCUUGAGUGCAGUGCUUUUUGUAGGCUUUGGAAAUAAACAGGUCAUUAAUCCUAAAAAAGCCCA